rnacentral:tRNA from 1 species
AACUAAAUGGCCGAAAAAGGCAUAGAAUUUUUAAUUCUUGCAUGAUAAAUUUCUUUAGUU